rfam:Pantoea ananatis LMG 20103, complete genome.
ACAGUAUCUCGUUUGGCGAGGCUCCUAUACAAACACAGGUUACUGAUCUGACGACAUCGAGAGAUGCCCAAGGUUAAGACAGGCUUUAUCGGAUUAAGGUUCAGCCCAAGGUAACUUCUGAUUAAUGAAUCAGAUACGUUGUAUAGUGCUAAAACCUGGACGCGGAGAUAGCCU